rnacentral:rRNA from 1 species
CCUACGGGUGGCAGCAGUGAGGAAUAUUGGUCAAUGGGCGCGAGCCUGAACCAGCCAAGUCGCGUGAAGGAUGACUGCCCUACGGGUUGUAAACUUCUUUUAUAAAGGAAUAAAGUGAGGCAAGUGUGCCUUUUUGUAUGUACUUAAUGAAUAAGCAUAGGCUAACUCCGUGCCAGCAGCCGCGGUAAUACGGAGGAUGCGAGCGUUAUCCGGAUGUAUUGGGUUUAAAGGGGGCGUAGGUUGAUUUUUAAGUCAGCGGUGAAAGUUUGUGGCUCAACCAUAAAAUUGCCGUUGAAACUGGUAGACUUGAGUGUGUUUGAGGUAGGCGGAAUGCGUGGUGUAGCGGUGAAAUGCAUAGAUAUCACGAAGAACUCCGAUUGCGAAGGCAGCUUACUAAGCCAUAACUGACACUGAAGCACGAAAGCGUGGGGAUCAAACAGGAUUAGAUACCCCUGUAGUC